GCUGAUUGCUUAUGCCUAGAUAUAUGUGUGUAUAAAAUGAUUGCGAGUAGUUCUUAUUUAAUGACAUGUGAGGUAACUAUAUAUAUGUGUGUGUGAAAUAAUGCUAAUGGGGGAAACCAGAAAAGGUGAAUGCAAAUGCAUUAGGUGGAGUUUUGUUGGUUGAUCAAUGAUCACGAGUCAUUUCCUGCCCAAGAAAACGAGGAAGGAGCAGCAACCCCACAAUGCCACCACAUAUUUUCACUCUUGCAUCGUCAGAAAGUCGUGGUUUUUAUUUUCUUGGGUUGAGUCAUCGUUUUCGCACUUCCAUAUGCUCCCACAAAGCCAAGUUACGCAAACAAACAUUAUAUGCCCAUAUAAUUAUGUGGCUUGACCGAAGCAUUGUUGAUUUGGCAAAAGAACAAAAUAAAAUAAAGAGAACUUAGCGUUUGUUUCUGAAGGUUAU